rnacentral:rRNA from 1 species
GCGUGCGUGGAACGCGGACUUUUAGGCAUAACACUAAAUCUUACCUUUCAAAAAGUUUAAAAUAAAAAACUUUCAACAACGGAUCUCUUGGUUCUCGCAUCGAUGAAGAACGCACCGAAUUGCGAUACGUAAUAUGACUUGCAGACGUGAAUCAUUGAAUUUUUGAACGCACAUUGCGCCUUAAGGUAUUCCUCAAGGCAUGCGUGAAUGAGCGAUAUUUACUCUCAAACCCUAGGGUUUGGUCCUGGCCCUACAGCCUAAACAUCAACUGAUUUUAAAAUAAGUUUUAAUCUCAUCCCCCUUAUUUCCUCAUUUUCGUAAGACUACCCGCUGAACUUAAGCAUAUCAAUAAGCGGAGGAAAGGGGCCUCAAAAUUAUUCUCAACCCUUUUAGGCUAAACACUAAAUCUUUCUUUCAAAAAGUUUAAAUAAAAACUUUCACAACGGAUCUCUUGGUUCUCGCAUCGAUGAAAAACGCACGAAUUGCGAUACGUAUAUGACUUGCAGACGUGAAUCAUUGAAAUUUUUGAACGCACAUUGCGCCUUAAGGUAUUCUCAAGGCAUGCGUGAAUGAGCGAUAUUUACUCUCAACCCUAGGGUUUGGUCCUGGCCUACAGCCUAAACAUCAACUGAUUUUAAAAUAAGUUUUAAUCUCAUCCCCCUUAUUUCUCAUUUUCGUAAGAAUAACCCGCCUGGAACUUAAGCAUAUCAAAUAAGCGGAAGGAAA